AAAACAUCGCCUCUUGACUAUAAUAAGAGGUCCAGCCUGCCCAGUGAAUUUUAAACGGCCGCGGUAUCCUAACCGCGCGAAGGUAGCAUAAUCACUUGUUCUUUAAAUGGGGACUCGUAUCAACGGCAUCACGAGGGUUUUACUGUCUCCUCUUUUUGAUCAGUGAAAUUGAUCUUCCCGUGAAGAAGCGGGAAUAUUUAUAUAAGACGAGAAGACCCCAUGGAGCUUCAAACCAAAUAACAACUUAACCACUUAACCCAUAAUAAAUUUAAGCCAUGUUAUAAGGUUUUGGGUUGGGGUGACCGCGGAGUAAAGCACAUCCUCCACGACGGAAAGAACACAAUCUUUAUUUAAGAACUACAAUUCUAGAAAUUAGUAUACUAACGUUUACUGACCCGAUAAUCGAUCAACGGACCAAGUUACCCUGGGGAUAACAGCGCAAUCUACUUCAAGAGCUCAUAUCGACAAGUAGGCUUACGACCUCGAUGUUGGAUCAGGGUAUCCCGGUGGUGCAGCCGCUACCGAAGGUUCGUUUGUUCAACGAUUAAAACCCUACGUGAUCUG
rnacentral:rRNA from 1 species